rnacentral:ribozyme from 1 species
UGUCCAGCAAUUCCUAUCCCUACCUCGUGGUAUUGGUCGGGGUACGAGAAACCUUAGGGAAGAUCUGGUAACCGAUCCCGGAGGGAACUUUGGUCGUAUGCUAACAGGGAAGG